UGAACGCUAGCUACAGGCUUAACACAUGCAAGUCGAGGGGCAGCACAGUGUAGCAAUACAUGGGUGGCGACCGGCGCACGGGUGCGUAACGCGUAUCCAACCUUCCCGAUACUCUUGGAUAGCCUUCCGAAAGGGAGAUUAAUACAAGAUGGUGUUUCACUUUCGCAUGUUAUUGAAACUAAAGAUUUAUCGGAUACGGAUUGGCUCGCGUAACAUUAGCUAGAUGGAGAGGUAACGGCUCCCCAUGGCGACGAUGUUUAGGGGUUCUGAGAGGAAGGUCCCCCACACUGGAACUGAGACACGGUCCAGACUCCUACGGGAGGCAGCAGUGAGGAAUAUUGGUCAAUGGUCUGACGACUGAACCAGCCAUGCCGCGUGAAGGUGACGGCCCUAUGGGUCUUAAACUUCUUUUGUAAGGGAGCAAUAAGCGCCACGUGUGGCGUGAUGAGAGUACCUUACGAAUAAGCAUCGGCUAACUCCGUG
rnacentral:rRNA from 1 species